ensembl:rRNA 5S_rRNA 5S ribosomal RNA
GUCUACAGCCAUACCACCCUGAAUGCACCCAAUCUCAUUUGAUCUUGAAAGCUAAGCAAGGUCGGGCUUGGUUAGUACAUAGAUGGGAGAAAUACUGGAGUGGGUUGCCA